rnacentral:tRNA from 1 species
UGUGGUUCAGUGGAUAGAGCACAUGAUUUGCAUACAUGAGGCCCCAGGUUUGAUCCCUGGUA